rnacentral:tRNA from 1 species
UCCUAGCUAAGCUCAGAUGGUAAAGAACCUGCCUACAAUGCAGGAGACCCAGGUUCGAUCCCUGGAUCAGGAA